rnacentral:lncRNA from 1 species
ACCUAAGAAGAACCAGUUUUAGGAUUACAAAUAUGUAAAUUAUAAUUCAAGGCAAUAUUGAUUUUGUAAAGAAGAAUGAAAGAUUAUGAGUGAUAAUCAUGAAGGAAAGGAUUAUCAAAGAAUAAAUCAACAAGCAAAAGAAUGAUAGGAGCGAUUAUACAUAAGAAAUCUCUUACAAGAACAACAAAAAGAAAUUGUAG